rnacentral:rRNA from 1 species
GGACGAACGCUGGCGGCGUGCCUAACACAUGCAAGUCGAACGGACUGCGAGGAGCUUGCUCCUCAAAGUUAGUGGCGGACGGGUGAGUAACGCGUGAGUAACCUGCCUUACAGAGGGGGAUAACGUUUGGAAACGAACGCUAAUACCGCAUAAAGUAUCUGAUAUCGCAUGGUAUUGAUACCAAAGAUUUUAUCGCUGUAAGAUGGACUCGCGUCUGAUUAGCUAGUUGGUGGGGUAACGGCCCACCAAGGCGACGAUCAGUAGCCGGUCUGAGAGGAUGAACGGCCACAUUGGGACUGAGAUACGGCCCAGACUCCUACGGGAGGCAGCAGUGGGGAAUAUUGGGCAAUGGGGGAAACCCUGACCCAGCAACGCCGCGUGAAGGAAGAAGGCCUUCGGGUUGUAAACUUCUUUUACCAGGGACGAACACAAUGACGGUACCUGGAGAAAAAGCAACGGCUAACUACGUG